ACUGGGGUUGGCCGAGUUAUUAAGGACGUUGGACUUAAGUUCCAAUGGACAAGUGUCCCGCGGUGGGUUCGAACCCCACACCCAGUA
rnacentral:tRNA from 1 species